GAUUGGUAUUUUACAGAAAAGUUAUAUGAUUAAAUUAAAAUAUGAAAUGAAUGGCCGCGUGAAUUCUAUUAAUAAAAAAUAAUCAUCUUCAUAAAUGUUAACAACCGAUAGUGUAGUACAUGUGCGGCGAUUGGACUUCAAUCAGAACAUUCUAGAAUCUUCGAGAACGUUCCUAACCCUAAGAUGGCUGCAGCCAGGCGAUAACCCCGGCCGAGCCGCAUAGUUUUAACAAGAAAAACCGACAUUUUCCGUAUAAAUAACAUUCAAAGCUUGGUGCAACCUAAACAUAAUCAAUUAUUACAUAAUUCUACAUUCAUAUUAAUUGACUAGUGUUAAAUUUCGAUUGAUUUUACUACAACUUCGGCUUAAUGGCACAUGGUAUCUCCUAACCUAAACGCAGACAUGACUGUCGGCCGCCGUGACCGCAAUUUCUUGCUGUCGAUGAGAUCGGAUAUUAAACAAAUCAAAAUAUUGAAUGAUAGGAAGUCGGUUUGGCCCUCGAGAUUAUACCCGCUGGAAGCUGUGGGUGGGGGUAACACUUUAAAAGAAAUAAUCCGCUGCCACUCAACAAAUUCUCAGAAAAUAGCAACUACUGUAAUGCAUCCGGUAAGUAGGUACAAUUUAAAAUACUAACAAUACAGUUGAAACAAACACAUUUAGAAUACCAUGAUAUCAUUGGGGAAUAAAUAGAAAAUACAACAUAAUUGUAACAUUGUUUCACUUUUUCUUGAAGAAGUUCAUCAAUGUUGGCUGAUUUGCAGGUUUAAUCGCUUGUUUCUUCUUUUUAUUGUUUGAUGGUGGUGAUACUUUUUAUUAUCCGCAGGCGAUGCUUUCUUCUGUGGUUCCUGCUUCUUCGGUGGAUUUUCUUUGUCUUCUUCCUCGCUUUCAGCACUUUCAUAGACUAAUUCUUUUCUGUGACUGAAAAUUUAUUAAAGCAAUUAAAUUAUAUUAAUAUGUAAAUAA